rnacentral:lncRNA from 1 species
UUCAUGAUGACACAAUGAUGGGUGUUUCCCCAAACAUGGGCAUUCCUGGCCUUUGCUUUUAUAAGCUCUGACUUCACUCUUUCUUCCAAGGGCCACCUCACUCUUGCCUUAUUGCCUGCUUCUUCAUGACUCUCUACCUCUCUAUCUUAGGCUUCGACCACUUUGAUAUUAACUAUAUUUUCUCCUUUUCUGAAUUCUUGAUGCUCUGGCAUUUGCGGGCUAACUGACUGGGGAAAGACUGCCUCUCCUAGGGCUAGCCAUUUCUUAGAGACAGCAAACAAUCCUCUGGGAAGUGUGCCUUUCAUAUGUGAACUAACCAGUCCAGAGCCUUUAGUCUAAACCACCUUCUCUACAUAGCUUUUAUAUUCCAGGAGGCAAUAUUUUUCGAAUCAUCCCAGGCUCAGAUACUGGACAACUUAGCGACCACCCCUCUGUCCCAGAGCCUGCCAAAAUCCUUCAAAGUAUCCAAUCCUAACCCUGCUCAAGUGCUCACCCUGCCUCGUCGUGGAACCACAGUAAAGGCUUUUGCCUACUCUGUCCUCUUCAUCCUUCUUCCUCUUGACCAACCCUGGUGCUUUUCCACACGGCCCCGCCUGGUUUGGCAUGACCCUCUUGGGAACUAUUCAAUAAAUGUUAUGAUUUCUAGUGAUUAUCUACAACUUCCAAAAUCAUACCAACCAUAAUAACACUAUCAAGAAUCCUCAGUCUAUCAAAACAGGACUCCAACUUACACAGGGCCAAAGCUCAGGCUCUCCCAUACACUACCCCAAUUCAUUCAAUAAGUUUACUAUACGUCUUCAGGAUGCCAGGUACUGAGGAUACAAAGAUGAAAAAGAAAAGGUCUCUGUCCUCCAAAUCCGUAAGUCUAGGUGUAUUAACAUGAAAAGAAACAUUUGAGAUUGCUUCAAGAAGAUCAUGCCACAGAGAGGCAAAGGAACACAGUGAUGGCUAUGAUUUGGAAUCCACAAACCACAUCUUCAUCAAAGCCAUAAAUCAUAUAUUUUACCUUGGGACAAUGAAUUCCAACUGUCUGGAAUAAUUUUAAAACACAGUAUAUGAGGUGUGAUUAUAUAUGUAAAGAUACCCCCCAAAACACCUAAACUUAAUUAAAUGAAUAUUAUCUUUCAAAGUGUUUCCCUUGGGAGGUAGUAGUCAAAUGAAUUGUGCCUCUGUUUACAAUAUCUGAGUCAAUUGUCAGUUUAUUCUAAUGUUGACUAUGAUAAAUCUGAGCUUAAUUCAGGAUCUUGGCACAGACUGGGAGAUGCAAAGAACCUUAGAGGAACAAACACAACAGGAUGUGGU